UUACGGCCAUAUCACAUUGAAACACCACUUCCCAAACAGUCACUGAAGUUAAGCAACAUUGAGCCUGGUCAGUACCUAGAUGGUUAACUGCUUGGGAAUAUCAGGU